rnacentral:rRNA from 1 species
UACGUAGGGGGCGAGCGUUGUCCGGAUUUAUUGGGCGUAAAGAGCUCGUAGGCGGUUUGGCAAGUCGGGUGUGAAAACUCCGGGCUCAACUCGGAGACGCCACUCGAUACUGCCAUGACUCGAGUCCGGUAGGGGAGUGCGGAAUUCCUGGUGUAGCGGUGAAAUGCGCAGAUAUCAGGAGGAACACCGGUGGCGAAGGCGACCCUCUGGACGGACACUGACGCUGAGACGCGAAAGCGUGGGUAGCAAACGGG